rnacentral:rRNA from 1 species
GCGGAGGGGAAACACCCGUUCCCAUACCGAACACGGCAGUUAAGCCCUCCUGCGCCGAUGGUACUAGUCUCGCGAGGGGCUGGGAGAGUAGGUCGUCGCCUG